CGGAGGGUGCGAGCGUUAAUCGGAAUUACUGGGCGUAAAGCGCAUGCAGGUGGUUUGUUAAGUCAGAUGUGAAAGCCCGGGGCUCAACCUCGGAAGGUCAUUUGAAACUGGCAAACUAGAGUACUGUAGAGGGGGUAGAAUUUCAGGUGUAGCGGUGAAAUGCGUAGAGAUCUGAAGGAAUACCAGUGGCGAAGGCGGCCCCCUGGACAGAUACUGACACUCAGAUGCGAAAGCGUGGGGAGCAAACAGGAUU
rnacentral:rRNA from 1 species